AGGAUAAUAGUUUAAUUCAAAACUUUCUCUUUGCGUGAGAAGAAUACUCUGGUUUAUCUUA
rnacentral:tRNA from 1 species